CAAUAUCGUAUAUUAAAGUUGUUGCGGUAAAAAAGCUCGUAGUUGGAUUUCUGUUGAGAGCGACCGGUCCAUACCAUGUAUGCGUAUCUGGCUUGCUCUCGGCAUCCUCUCGAUAGACGUUACUGCGCUUGAUUGCGUGGUGCGGAUCUCGGGACUUUUACUUUGAGGAAAUUAGAGUGUUCACGGCAGGCUUUCGCCAGAAUACAUUAGCAUGGAAUAAUACUAUAGGAUCUUGGUUCUAUUUUGUUGGUUUCUAGAAUUGAGAUAAUGAUUAAUAGGGACAAUUGGGGGCAUUCGUAUCAACACGUCAGAGGUGGAAUUCUUGGAUUGUGUUGCGACGAACUACUGCGAAAGCAUUUGCCAAGGAUGUUUUCAUUGA
rnacentral:rRNA from 1 species